CGCUUGUUUGGGCAACCAUUUAAGUGAUUAAACAGAAGUCAGCAGACGGCAUAGUAGCCAAAUGCCCAUCGUAAUGGAUGGGACAGGGUGAAGGCC
rfam:Methanotrophic endosymbiont of Bathymodiolus azoricus (Menez Gwen) isolate BAZMOX genome assembly, contig: contig52771